CCGUUAGCUCAGUCGGCAGAGCAGGGGACUUUUAAUCCCAAGGUCGAGGGUUCGAACCCCUCACGGUC
rnacentral:tRNA from 1 species